rnacentral:rRNA from 1 species
GAUGAACGCUAGCUACAGGCUUAACACAUGCAAGUCGAGGGACCAGCGCACGGGUGCGUAACACUUAUCCAACGUGAACUUUACUAGGGGAGGGGCUUUCGAAAGAGAGAUUAGUACCAGAUAUAAAGGAGGGGGAUGCGUUCCAUUAGGUUGUUGGUGAGGUAACGGCAAACAAAGCCUUCGAUGGAUAGGGGUUCUGGUAGGCAGGUCCCCCACCUUGGAACUGAGACACGGUCCAAAACGGUACGGGGCGCUGGAGUGUGUAAGACUGGUGAAUGGGCGCUAGCCUGAACCAGCCACGUAGCGUGAAGGAUUAAGGCGUAUGGGUCGUAAACUGUUUUAAUAUAAGAAGCGGUAUUAUAUGAAUAAGGAGCGGCUAACUCCGUGCCAGCAGCCGCGGUAAUAC